GAGAGUUUGAUCCUGGCUCAGGAUGAACGCUGGCGGCGUGCCUAAUACAUGCAAGUCGAACGAAUCUUCUUCGGAAGAUGAGUGGCGAACGGGUGAGUAAUACAUAGGUAACCUGCCCCUGUGCGGGGGAUAACAGGAGGAAACUCCUGCUAAUACCGCAUAGCCAUGAGCACCGCAUGGAGCUCAUGCCAAAUAUCCUUUAUGGGAUAGCGCAAGGAUGGACCUAUGGCGCAUUAGCUUGUUGGCGGGGCAACGGCCCACCAAGGCAACGAUGCGUAGCCGGCCUGAGAGGGCGGACGGCCACAUUGGGACUGAGACACGGCCCAGACUCCUACGGGAGGCAGCAGUAGGGAAUUUUCGGCAAUGGGGGAAACCUUGACCGAGCAACGCCGCGUGAGCGAAGAAGGCCUUCGGGUCGUAAAGCUCUGUUGUAAAGGAAGAACGUCGCAUGCAGGAAAUGGUGUGCGAGUGACGGUACUUUACCAGAAAGCCACGGCU
rnacentral:rRNA from 1 species